rnacentral:rRNA from 1 species
CCUACGGGUGGCAGCAGUGAGGAAUAUUGGUCAAUGGACGAGAGUCUGAACCAGCCAAGUAGCGUGAAGGAUGACUGCCCUCUGGGUUGUAAACUUCUUUUAUAAAGGAAUAAAACGAGGCACGUUUUCCUUUUUGCAUGUACUUUAUGAAUAAGGAUCGGCUAACUCCGUGCCAGCAGCCGCGGUAAUACGGAGGAUACGAGCGUUAUCCGGAUUUCUUGGGUUUAACGGGAGCGUAGAUGGGUUGUUAAGUCAGUUGUGAAAGUUUGCGGCUCAACCGUAAAAUUGCAAUUGAUACUGGCAGUCGUGAGUACAGUUGAGGUAGGCGGAAUUCGUGGGGUAGCGGUGAAAUGCUUAGAUAUCACGAAGAACCCCGAUGGCGAAGGCAGCUUACUAAACUGUGACUGACAUUGAUGCGCGAAAGUGUGGGUAGCAAACAGGAUUAGAUACCCGGGUAGUC